AUUGAACGCUGGCGGCAGGCCUAACACAUGCAAGUCGAGCGGAUGAAGGGGGCUUGCUCCUGGAUUCAGCGGCGGACGGGUGAGUAAUGCCUAGGAAUCUGCCUGGUAGUGGGGGAUAACGUCCGGAAACGGGCGCUAAUACCGCAUACGUCCUGUGGGAGAAAGUGGGGGAUCUUCGGACCUCACGCUAUCAGAUGAGCCUAGGUCGGAUUAGCUAGUUGGUGGGGUAAAGGCCUACCAAGGCGACGAUCCGUAACUGGUCUGAGAGGAUGAUCAGUCACACUGGAACUGAGACACGGUCCAGACUCCUACAGGAGGCAGCAGUGGGGAAUAUUGGACAAUGGGCGAAAGCCUGAUCCAGCCAUGCCGCGUGUGUGAAGAAGGUCUUCGGAUUGUAAAGCACUUUAAGUUGGGAGGAAGGGCAGUAAGUUAAUACCUUGCUGUUUUGACGUUACCAACAGAAUAAGCACCGGCUAACUUCGUG
rnacentral:rRNA from 1 species